rnacentral:rRNA from 1 species
ACGAACGCUGGCGGCAGGCUUAACACAUGCAAGUCGAGCGAAGACUUCGGUCUUAGCGGCGGACGGGUGAGUAACGCGUGGGAACGUGCCCUUCUCUACGGAACAGUCCUGGGAAACUGGGUUUAAUACCGUAUACGCCCUUUUGGGGAAAGAUUUAUCGGAGAAGGAUCGGCCCGCGUUGGAUUAGGUAGUUGGUGGGGUAAUGGCCUACCAAGCCUACGAUCCAUAGCUGGUUUGAGAGGAUGAUCAGCCACACUGGGACUGAGACACGGCCCAGACUCCUACGGGAGGCAGCAGUGGGGAAUCUUAGACAAUGGGGGCAACCCUGAUCUAGCCAUGCCGCGUGAGUGAUGAAGGCCUUAGGGUCGUAAAGCUCUUUCGCUGGGGAAGAUAAUGACGGUACCCAGUAAAGAAACCCCGGCUAACUCCGUGCCAGCAGCCGCAGUAACAC